rnacentral:rRNA from 1 species
AACGUAGGUGGCGAGCGUUAUCCGGAUUUACUGGGCGUAAAGGGUGUGCAGGCGGGCGACCAAGUGGUGUAUGAAAUCUCCCAGCUAAACUGGGAUAGGUUAUGCCAGACUGGUGGUCUAGAGUGCGAGAGAGGGGGCGUGGAAUUCCACGUGUAGCGGUGAAAUGCGUAGAUAUGUGGAGGAAUACCGGUGGCGAAGGCGGCCUCCUGGCUUAAUACUGACGCUGAGGUGCGAAAGCGUGGGGAUCAAACAGG